CCCUUCCUUUCCUCCAGAGCCUGAGGCAGCCGCGGGGGAGGCGGCCGCUCCUACCUCCCCUCACCUACUCUGUCCCCACCCCCACUCCGCUCCCACCUCCCGCCCGCCACGGGCCGGUUACCUGCUCGUCGAAGCGGCUGACCACGGCCUGGACCCAUUCCACCGGCCUGUGCGCGGCCAUGUCCUCCCCGCGGCCGGGGGGCGGCGGAGGGAAGGGUGGGCCGGCGCCCUGGGCCGGGAAGAGGGCGGGGAGCGGAGGCUGAGGCAACAAGCUCUGCCAAUUUUUUCUUCGAAGAGUUUUGUUCCAAGCUGGGAGCCGUGGCUCAUGCCUGUCAUCCCAGCACUUUGGGAGGCCAAGGUGGGUGGAUCACUUGAGCCCAGGAGUUCCAGACCACCCUGGGCAACAUGGCGAAACCUCAUCUCUACAAAAUUUUUUUUUUUAAUUAGCUGGGCAUGGUGGCAUGUGCCUGUGGUUCCAGUUACUUGGGAAGCUGAAGUGGGAGGAUCGCUUGAGCCCAGGAGGUCAAGGCUACAGUGAGCUGUGAUGGUGUCAUUGCAUUCCAGCACUCCAGCCCGGGCAUCAGAGUUAGACCUUGUCUUAAAAAAUAAAUAAAUGAAUAAAUAUAAAUAAAAAAUAAAAAGCUUUUACAGUAGUAUUCCCUUCAUUCUGCCCACCACCCCCAUCUCCACUGGCACAACCAACCAUCCCAGCAUACCAAAGAGCACACCACUCUUCAGGACUAAGGUGCUCAUUUCC
rnacentral:lncRNA from 10 species